rnacentral:rRNA from 1 species
AUGGAGGCGAGCGAGCGAUCACUGCCCUGCUUCCUCCUCCACGGCGUGAGCGCCGGGGUCCACCUCAUCCUCGCGCUCGCCGUUGCUGGGAGCCGGCUCUUCCCCCGCCGCGGGAAGGACACCGUGAGCACCGUGGGCGGGGUCCGGUGCUACGUGGUGGCGACCUGCACCAUGUGGGCUCUGGCGGCGUUCCAGCUCCUCCUCGCCGCGUACUCCUGCUACCUUGGCGCCGGCGCCGGGUGGACGCUCCACGCGGCGGUGGAGCAGGUGGAUGCCGCCGCGCGCGGGGUGGCGUGGCUGCUGCUCGCGGCGUACCUGCAGUUCGAGUUCCGCCGCGACGAGCGGUUCCCGGCGCCGCUCAGGCUCUGGUGGGCGCUCUUCCUGCUGCUGUCGGUCCUCGCAGUCGCCGUCCACGCCGCGACGAGCCUCGACGGGCUCCCCGUGCCCGCGCGUUCCUGGGCGCUCGACGCCGUCUCGGUCCUCGCUGCCGUGGUGCUGCUCGUCGCCGGGCUGUUCGGCAAGAGCGAACUAGCGGGCGGUUCUGCUUCAGAGGAGCCCCUGCUAGAUGGCGCGAGCGAGAGCAGCAGCGCCUGUGCCUCUGCGUACGCCGGCGCCGGCCUCCUCGGCGUCCUCACCUUCUCCUGGAUGGGGCCGCUGCUCGCCGUGGGCCACAAGAAGGCCCUCGGCCUCGACGACGUCCCGGGCCUCGACCCCGGCGACAGCGUGGCCGGCCUGCUCCCCUCGUUCAAGGCCAACCUCGCGACGGUCGCCGGCGACGGCACCACGAGCCAAAGGGUGACGGCGUUCAAGCUCGCCAAGGUCCUGGUGCGCACCUUCCGCUGGCACGUCGCGGUGACCGCGCUCUACGCUCUCGUCUACAACGUGGCCACCUACGUCGGCCCGUACCUCAUCGACUCCCUCGUGCAGUACCUCAACGGCGGCGACGAGAGGCGCCCGAGCAAGGGGCAGCUCCUCGUCCUCGCCUUCAUCGCAGCCAAGGUGUUCGAGUGUUUGUCGCAGCAGCACUCGUGCUUCCGGCUGCAGCAGGUCGGGAUACGCGCGCGGUCCGCGCUGGUCGCCGUCGUGUACGAGAAGGGGCUGGCCCUCUCCGGCCGUUCCAGGCAGGCCCACUCGAGCGGCGAGAUGGUCAACAUCGUCGGCGUCGACGCCGACCGUGUCGGGAACUCCUCCUGGUACAUCCACGACCUGUGGCUGGUGCCGCUCCAAGUAGGCAUGGCGAUGUUCGUCCUCUACUCCACUCUCGGGCUUGCCUCGCUCGCCGCGCUCGGCGCCACCGCGGCUGUCAUGCUCGUCAACGUCCCUUCGGUGAAAGUCCAGGAGAAGGUCCAGCAGAAUCUGAUGAGGAGCAAGGACGUUCGGAUGAAGGCGACGUCCGAGAUCCUGCGCAACAUGAGGAUCCUCAAGCUGCAGGGGUGGGAGAUGAAGUUCUUGUCCAAGAUCAUCGCCCUCAGGAAGACGGAGACGAACUGGCUCAAGAAGUACCUUUACACCUCGACCAUGAUCACCUUCAUCUUCUGGAGCGCCCCUACAUUCAUCGCCGUGGUCACCUUCGGAGCGUGCGUCCUGAUGGGGAUACCAUUGGAGUCGGGCAAGGUGCUGUCUGCAUUGGCCACACUCCGGGUGAGUUCCCGACGGACGCUGUGCAGAGGCUGCCAAUCGGCAGCUCGGAUGUUGCAAUCGAGGUCAGCAAUGGGUGCUUCUCCUGGGACGCCUCGCCUGAAAUGCCAACGCUCAAGGACCUCAACUUUCAAGCUCGUCUUUCAAGCUCGUCGAGGCAUGCGCGUCGCGGUCUGCGGCACGGUCGGCUCCGGAAAAUCGAGCCUGCUCUCUUGCAUUCUUGGCGAGGUUCCGAAGCUAUCAGGAGUGGUCAGGACCUGCGGGACAAUAGCGUAUGUGAGCCAGUCAGCGUGGAUACAGAGCGGCAAGGUUCAGGAGAACAUACUGUUCGGCAAGGAGAUGGACAGUGAGAAGUAUGACAGAGUGCUAGAGCUGUGUUCGCUGAAGAAAGACCUGGAGAGCUUCCCGUCGGGCGACCAGACGGUCAUUGGAGAGCGAGGCAUCAACCUCAGCGGUGGGCAGAAGCAGAGAGUUCAGAUAGCACGAGCUCUGUAUCAGGACGCCGACAUUUAUUUGUUCGACGAUCCCUUCAGUGCUGUCGAUGCUCAUACAGGAUCCCACAUAUUCAAGGAAUGCUUGCUUGGGGCUUUGGUUCAGAAAACAGUGGUGUAUGUCACUCAUCAGCUUGAAUUUCUACCUGCAGCUGAUCUUAUUCUGGUAAUUAAAGAUGGGGUAAUAGCACAAUCUGGCAGCUACAACGAAAUACUUGGCUCAGGGGAAGAGUUUAUGGAACUGGUUGGUGCUCACCAGGAUGCUCUUGCAGCAAUCGACGCAAUCGAAGUUCCAAAUGGAGCCAGUGAGGCUUUCUCGUCUAGCGGCGCAGCAAGCCUGUCGGGAUCACUGCCAUCAGCUGAGAAGAAGGAUAAGCAAAAUGUCAAGCAAGAUGAUGGCCAUGGUCAGAGUGGGCAGCUGGUGCAAGAAGAAGAAAGGGAGAGGGGCAGGGUGGGGUUUUGGGUCUACUGGAAGUAUCUCACCUUAGCUUAUGGGGGAGCUCUUGUGCCAUUCGUGCUGCUCGCGCAGAUGCUUUUCGAAGUGCUUCACAUUGCUAGCAAUUACUGGAUGGCCUGGGCUGCUCCUGCGUCGAAGGACGUCGAGCCUCCGGUCAGCAUGUACACAUUGAUAUACGUCUAUGUAGCAUUGGCCCUAGGAAGCUCGGUGUGCACCUUCGUGAGAGCCCUGUUUCUUGUGCCAGCUGCAUACAAGACAGCAACUCUGCUGUUUAACAAGAUGCAUGUGUCCAUAUUCAGAGCUCCGAUGUCUUUCUUUGAUUCCACUCCAAGUGGGCGCAUCUUGAAUAGGGCUUCGACUGAUCAAAGCCUGGUGGACACCAGCAUUGCUAACAGGAUGGGCUCUAUUGCGUUUGCCUUCAUACAACUUGGUGGAACUGUUGUUGUGAUGUCUCAGGUUGCAUGGCAGGUCUUUGUUGUUUUCAUUCCUGUAAUUGCUAUCUGCCUCUGGUAUCAGCGCUACUACAUUGAUACAGCCAGAGAGUUGCAAAGGAUGGUCGGGAUUUGCAAAGCUCCUAUCAUACAACAUUUUGUAGAAUCAAUAACUGGAUCGACAAUCAUUAGAAGUUUUGGCAAGGAAAAUCAGUUUUUAGCAACUAAUAACCAGCUAAUGGAUGCCUACUCACGACCAAAAUUCUACAAUGCUGGAGCAAUGGAGUGGCUUUGCUUCCGCAUGGAUAUGCUAUCAUCCCUUACAUUUGCCAUCUCUUUGAUAUUUUUAAUCAAUCUGCCGACCGGUAUCAUCGAUCCAGGAAUUGCUGGCCUUGUAGUCACAUAUGGGCUUAAUCUGAACAUAAUGCAAGUAACGCUUGUAACAAGCAUGUGCAAUUUGGAGAACAAGAUCAUCUCAGUAGAGAGAAUUUUGCAAUACCUAAGCCUUCCUGAAGAGGCCCCUCUUUCAAUAUCUGAAGAUGGGUUGGCUCAUAACUGGCCGUCAGAGGGAGAAAUUCAGCUCCAUAACCUCCAUGUGAAAUAUGCUCCACAACUACCGUUUGUUCUGAAGGGCCUUACAGUCACUUUUCCUGGAGGCAUGAAGACGGGUAUUGUUGGUAGAACAGGCAGUGGUAAAUCAACACUCAUACAGGCCCUUUUCCGUAUCAUGGAUCCCACCGUCGGCCAGAUAAUAGUAGACGGCGUCGACAUUUGCACCAUCGGGUUGCAUGAUCUGAGAUCUAGAUUGAGCAUUAUUCCGCAAGACCCAACGAUGUUCGACGGAACCGUGAGACACAACCUUGACCCUCUAGGAGAGUACACUGACAAUCAAAUCUGGGAGGCCUUGGAUCACUGUCAGCUAGGAGAUGAAGUUCGGAGAAAGGAGCUCAAACUCGACUCACCAGUGCUGGAGAACGGAGAGAACUGGAGCGUGGGCCAGCGUCAGCUCGUCUGUCUCGGCAGGGUGAUCCUGAGACGGACCAAGAUACUGGUCCUGGACGAAGCCACCGCUUCGGUGGACACCGCAACAGAUAACCUGAUCCAGAAGACACUGCAGCAGCAUUUCUCAGGGGCGACCGUCAUCACGAUCGCGCAUCGAAUCACCUCGGUCCUUCACAGCGAUAUAGUCUUGCUUCUUGACAAUGGCGUGGCUGUGGAGCACCAAACGCCAGCCAGGUUGCUGGAGGACAAAUCCUCUCUGUUCUCAAAGCUUGUAGCAGAAUACACGAUGAGGUCGACGCGCACUUGA